rnacentral:lncRNA from 1 species
CAAUGUGAACCUUAAUAUGACAUGAGGUUGAUAGUUUCUCUGUGACCCGCUUUUAAAAGAAGUAAACUGAGUAGCAUGCAGUUGUGUAAAGAAAAAUGAAGAUUGUAUAUAUUCACACAUUUUCUUUAGAAUUCUUAGUUUGAUGGGUGAAAACUUGAAAAUGAAGGUAUUUUGAUUUAUAUGAUACUUUGAUAUUUUCAAAAGGGACUUUUCCUGGCAUUUUGCUCUUAGAUCAUGCCCCCAUUGUGCUGUAAUUUAAGCCGACUUGGUUCAGUGAAUGCCAUCACCAUUUCCAUUGAGAAUUUAAAAAUCACCAGUGUUUAACAUGCAGGCUUCUGAAGGGCUCCCAGAGAAUCAGACCUGUAAGCCCAGUUGAUUUACUUCUAACUUGAAACUUUGAGUUCCUCUCUACUUUGCUAGGUAAUUUGUGGUACAUCUAAAGCAUAGUCUUAGGUGGAUUGUGUGUGGAUUUUAUUUAACGCUGUUGCUAGGGCAGAUAGAAAUGCUGCUGAGUAGAAACAAUAGUACCCAGUCUAAUCUGGUGCAGAGAGCAGUCCCUAAAAUCUGUACACAGAGUAAUGGAACACUUUUUAAGUAGGAGUCUUAAGAGGCUGAUUUUCCUAUGGAAUUACAUUGCAACAGGAAGUCUACUAGUAUAGUUCCUUAUACUGUUAGAAUACGUUUUCAUGGGUAUGCUAUAGGUAUCAGGUAUCAGGAUGUAACUGGGUAGCGUUAAAUAAUGUGAAGAUGGCAGGAUCGUGUCAUUACUAACAGUCCUCUGGCUAUUAAUUUAGUUGCUCUGCGGACACUUUCUGAAUAUAACAUCACAAUUCUCAUGUCCUUGGAGGUAAACCCCUCAUUAUUAAUAUAUCUUAGUGACUAAGCAGUCAUUUUUCUGUUUACUCAUGUACAUUUUCCCUUUAAAACUAAAAGUCUGUACUGUGUAUGUCACAAGCCUUUUAGCUUAGUUUUUAGGAAAUGAACACUGACUGGGUCACUUUUUGGUGUAGCAGGUAUGGGAUAUGUGCAUUAUAGAGAGACCUUGCCAGUUCUUUGGGCCUAUUUGAAUGUUUACUGUUGGUGUGAGGAUGAUGGGUGAAUCGGUAAAUACAAGUUACCGUGGUUUAGCAGAGCAAGCUCAGCGUGGAUAUUUCUCCUUGAAGCAUGGUGCAUGAAGAACUGUGACUAGUGAACUUGGUCAUCCUUUGAUUCCUCUUGUAUUUUGCAAACUGUUGCUCAGCAAAUUCGUACCUACUGCCCCCAAAGCAAAAGCAAGAACUACUACUGAUUUAUCACUCAGCUGUCUUUAUAUGUGUGCUUCUGUGACUUGUAUCACACAAGGAUCUUACGGUUUCACGAAUUGUUACCUUUUAGCUCUGAAUGUUUAGUAUUCUGGUGGGCUUACAACAGAACAAACUCUGACAGUCAUUUGAGAAUUUUCAUGAAACAUUUAGCUAAAAACAUUUUAUAAUUUAUGAAAAGAAAUGUGUUACCUUAAGAAACUUUUACGUAUGUGGGAGACAUUACCUGCCAUAUUUGAGCAUACUGAAUUUUAAAUUUAAAAUAAAGCUGCAUAUUUUUAAAUG